rnacentral:rRNA from 1 species
GCGCCUUGCGCGCACCGGCGGACGGCUCAGUAACACGUCGGUAACCUACCCUCGGGAGGGGGAUAACCCCGGGAAACUGGGGCUAAUCCCCCAUAGGCCUGAGGUACUGGAAGGUCCUCAGGCCGAAAGGGGCUCUGCCCGCCCGAGGAUGGGCCGGCGGCCGAUUAGGUAGUUGGUGGGGUAACGGCCCACCAAGCCGAAGAUCGGUACGGGCCAUGAGAGUGGGAGCCCGGAGAUGGACACUGAGACACGGGUCCAGGCCCUACGGGGCGCAGCAGGCGCGAAACCUCCGCAAUGCGGGCAACCGCGACGGGGGGACCCCCAGUGCCGUGGCAUCGCCACGGCUUUUCCGGAGUGUAAAGAGCUCCGGGAAUAAGGGCUGGGCAAGGCCGGUGGCAGCCGCCGCGGUAAUACCGGCGGCCCGAGUGGUGGCCGCUAUUAUUGGGCCUAAAGCG